AAGAGAUGGGUGGUAGUAGGUAGUAGUGGAGGUGGUGAGAGAAGAGAGGGGUGGUAGUAGGUAGUAGUGGAGGUGGUGAGAGCAGAGAGGGGUGGUAGUUGGUAGUAGUGGAGGUGGUGAGAGAAGAGACCGGUGGUAGUAGGUAGUAGUGGAGGUGGUGAGAGAAGAGAGGGGUGGUAGUAGGUAGUAGUGGAGGUGGUGAGAGCAGAGAGGGGUGGUAGUUGGUAGUAGUGGAGGUGGUGAGAGAAGAGAUGGGUGGUAAUAGGUAGUAGUGGAGGUGGUGAGAGAAGAGAUGGGUGGUAGUAGUGGAGGUGGGGAGAGAAGAGAGGGGUGGUAGUAGGUAGCAGUGGAGGUGGUGAGAGAAGAGAGGGGUGGUAGUAGGUAGUAGUGGAGGUGGUGAGAGAAGAGAUGGGUGGUAGUAGGUAGCAGUGGAGGUGGUGAGAGAAGAGAGGGGUGGUAGUUGGUAGCAGUGGAGGUGGUGAGAGAAGAGAUGGGUGGUAGUAGGUAGUAGUGGAGGUGGUGGACUAUGAACUCAGACUAUUGUGAUCCCAAAUAGCACCCCUUUUCCCUGAGUAGUGCACUACUUUUGACCAAGGACUCAUCACACCAAAGGGUAAAUGGAUGUAAUUUACGGGCCAUUUGGAACGCGUACUAGAAUACUAGCAGAUGUCCAGUUGCAAACAGUCUGUAAAUGCCCUGUACUGUGGUGAAUGGAGAGAUAGAGGGAUGGAGAGAUGGAGGG
rnacentral:lncRNA from 1 species